GGAGAGUUGGCAGAGUGGUUGAAUGCGGCGGUCUUGAAAACCGUUAAGGAUGUAAGUCCUUCCGGGGUUCGAAUCCCUGACUCUCCGCUA
rnacentral:tRNA from 6 species